rnacentral:rRNA from 1 species
GAUGAACGCUGGCGGCGUGCCUAAUACAUGCAAGUCGAGCGAACAGACGAGGAGCUUGCUCCUCUGACGUUAGCGGCGGACGGGUGAGUAACACGUGGAUAACCUACCUAUAAGGCUGGGAUAACUUCGGGAAACCGGAGCUAAUACCGUAUAACAUGUUGAACCGCAUGGUUCAACAGUGAAAGACGGUCUUGCUGUCACUUAUAGAUGGAUCCGCGCCGCAUUAGCUAGUUGGUAAGGUAACGGCUUACCAAGGCAACGAUGCGUAGCCGACCUGAGAGGGUGAUCGGCCACACUGGAACUGAGACACGGUCCAGACUCCUACGGGAGGCAGCAGUAGGGAAUCUUCCGCAAUGGGCGAAAGCCUGACGGAGCAACGCCGCGUGAGUGAAGAAGGUCUUCGGAUCGUAAAACUCUGUUAUUAGGGAAGAACAAAUGUGUAAGUAACUAUGCACGUCUUGACGGUACCUAAUCAGAAAGCCACGGCUAACUACGUG